GUUUCAUUUAUAUACAUGUAUGUGACUAUCUCUCAUUCUCCUUAGGAUAAUACCAGUAUCACUGCCAGUACUAUUACCAGUGCUCUUAAUGACUACCCAAGACAGAGGAGGGGAUUGACUUCCGUACAAUGGGAAAUCACUAAUCAGAAUGCACUGGAGGAGAUUAUAGCUGGUGUUUCUGUCAAAGUCUAAGAGAGUGUCCUCCAUAGCCAAAACGCAUAAGAGGAAAGGUCGUGACAAGUUGAGCCUUAUUGCUAUAAAGAAAAACUGCUAACUAUCCGUUGCAGGUUAAUAUGGAAGGAGUACCAGCAACACUGGUUAAUAUUUUGUCAAGACGUCAGCCAUUAGCAGUUGCAUAUUUACGCGAGUACUUAGGACCUCAGGUACUGAUUGACCUAAAGAUCAGACUAAUUAUAUGUAUAAAACACAUGUAUGAUGUAUAAUAGUAUAAUA